CCAAAGACAAGCUCGCACAAAAAGCAACCAAGGUGCAUCCCCUGUCUGCUAGAGCAGCUCCUGCUCUGUGGGGGGUCUCCAGGGGGCCACUGCUCAUCAACCCAGGGAUGGACCUCAACAUGUGUGCUCAUCCACACCCUCAGCCUGUUGCUGACAUCGUCUGUCGGCCUACACCAGUUUCCCAGAGCUUCCAUAUUCACUGUAGCUGUCUCUUUUUCAGGAAGCUUGGACGGCCUUAUCCCUGCUGGAUCCUUAUCCUUGCAGGACUUUUCACAGCCUAUCAAAAAUAUGAAUCACUCCCUGGUAUUUUUACUCAAACUCUUCUAGGCUGCCAGCCUUCUCCUUUAAAAUUCUUUCUCAGUUUCUGUUUAUCCAAAUCAGGGAUGACAAACCUAAACACAGGCACAAGGCUGUGCGUGCAAAUGAAUAUGUGAUCUGGGCUGCAGGACGAGGUGAGCCUGGCCGAAAACUGAAGAGUCCAUGCCACUGGUGAAAGGCAUUUGAAUUUAAAAAUUUAAAACAGACUCAUCACAUGUCAAGACCCUUGGCAGGAACCCUGUAACACUGUAUUAACUGAAACAUUAAAGAGAGCUGUGAAGAAAGGAAACAUUACCUCGGACGUUUGGAUACGUGCAAACCCUGUUACUACUGUUGAUAAGAUAAUCAGAUCUCCUGACUUCUUUUCACUUUGCCUCGCACCUUGUCAAAUUAUGCUGUGGACACUAGGGGGUGCUCUCGCACUAUUUUCCUGGGCAAUGCCUUUAAAAGUAAUUUUGAAAAAAUUCCUUAGUUUCCUUAGAGCCCGACUUUAAAUUUCUGCUCAUAGAUAUGGAUUUUGUGGAUCAAAUAACUUUUAUGACUAACCCUUUUACGUUUUAUGAAUAAAAAAAUUUUAAGGCUUAUAGUUAAUAUUUCAACGGCUGUUAUUUCUCUUAAGUUUGAUGUAAGCUUUGGUAAGUUGGAAUUUUUUUAAGCAUGUUCAAAAGUCCAGCAAUAAAAUUUUUUUGGGGAAAA